rnacentral:rRNA from 2 species
AGAGUUUGAUCCUGGCUCAGGACGAACGCUGGCGGCGUGCCUAAUACAUGCAAGUCGAACGCUUCUUUUUCCACCGGAGCUUGCUCCACCGGAAAAAGAGGAGUGGCGAACGGGUGAGUAACACGUGGGUAACCUGCCCAUCAGAAGGGGAUAACACUUGGAAACAGGUGCUAAUACCGUAUAACAAUCGAAACCGCAUGGUUUUGAUUUGAAAGGCGCUUUCGGGUGUCGCUGAUGGAUGGACCCGCGGUGCAUUAGCUAGUUGGUGAGGUAACGGCUCACCAAGGCCACGAUGCAUAGCCGACCUGAGAGGGUGAUCGGCCACAUUGGGACUGAGACACGGCCCAAACUCCUACGGGAGGCAGCAGUAGGGAAUCUUCGGCAAUGGACGAAAGUCUGACCGAGCAACGCCGCGUGAGUGAAGAAGGUUUUCGGAUCGUAAAACUCUGUUGUUAGAGAAGAACAAGGAUGAGAGUAACUGUUCAUCCCUUGACGGUAUCUAACCAGAAAGCCACGGCUAACUACGUGCCAGCAGCCGCGGUAAUACGUAGGUGGCAAGCGUUGUCCGGAUUUAUUGGGCGUAAAGCGAGCGCAGGCGGUUUCUUAAGUCUGAUGUGAAAGCCCCCGGCUCAACCGGGGAGGGUCAUUGGAAACUGGGAGACUUGAGUGCAGAAGAGGAGAGUGGAAUUCCAUGUGUAGCGGUGAAAUGCGUAGAUAUAUGGAGGAACACCAGUGGCGAAGGCGGCUCUCUGGUCUGUAACUGACGCUGAGGCUCGAAAGCGUGGGGAGCAAACAGGAUUAGAUACCCUGGUAGUCCACGCCGUAAACGAUGAGUGCUAAGUGUUGGAGGGUUUCCGCCCUUCAGUGCUGCAGCUAACGCAUUAAGCACUCCGCCUGGGGAGUACGACCGCAAGGUUGAAACUCAAAGGAAUUGACGG